GGUUUAAUACCCCAAGUUUGAAGUGAACCCUGAUGAAUUGAAACCCAAAGAAAUUUGGCCGGUCAGCCAUUAAAUUUGGAACGUCUCCUUUAGGGGGGGCAAA
rnacentral:snRNA from 13 species